AUGUCUGUGAGCAAGCAAUGGACGCGGGUGCGGACGCUCGGCCGCGGCGCGUCGGGGGCAGAGGUGUUCCUCGCGGCGGACGACGCCUCCGGGCAGCUCUUCGCGGUCAAGUCCGCCGUGGGGGCAGCGUGCGCGGCGGCGCUCAGGAGGGAGCAGAUGGUGAUGGCCGGCCUGAGCUCCCCGCGCGUCGUAUCCUGCAUCGGCGGCCGCGGCGCCCGCGACGGCUCCUACCAGCUCUUCCUCGAGUUCGCCCCCGGCGGCUCGCUGGUGGAGCAGGUGAUGAGCAACGGGGGCCUCGACGAGCGCGCCGUCCGCGACUACGCGGCCGAUGUGGCGGCCGCGCUCGCGUACCUCCACGGCGCUGGGAUGGUGCACGGGGACGUCAAGGCGAGGAACGUCGUGAUCGGCGCCGACGGCCGCGCCAAGCUCGCGGAUUUCGGCUGCGCGAGGAAAGUGGGCGCCGGCGUGCCGAUCAUCGGCGGCACGCCCGCGUUCAUGGCGCCGGAGGUGGCGCGCGGCGAGGAGCAGGGCCCCGCGGCCGACGUCUGGGCGCUCGGAUGCACGGUCAUCGAGAUGGCCACCGGCCGCGCCCCGUGGACCGGCAUGGACGGCAACGCGCUCGCCGCGCUGCAUCGGAUCGGGUACACCGAGGCUGUUCCCGAGCUGCCCCAAUGGCUGUCCGCUGAGGCGAAGGACUUCUUGGCCAGAUGCCUUGUCAGGCAGGCCAACGACCGGUGCACGGCGGCACAGCUGCUGGAGCAUCCGUUCUUGGCCGCCGCCGUCGUCGACGCGAAGGCAGAAGCCGUGGAGAGCAAAUGGGUGUCGCCGAAGAGCACGCUGGACGCGGCAUUCUGGGAGUCAGAGUCCGACGCCGACGAGGCGGACGACGAGCCGUCGCACGGCGCGGCCGAGAGGAGGAUCAGCGCAUUGGCCUGCCCUGCUUCGGCGCUCCCGGACUGGGACUCGGACGAGGGAUGGAUCGACGUGCUCUCCGGGCCGACGGAAGCAGCGGACGCAGUUGCCGCGCCGGCCAAGGAGAGGACUGGCAUCAUCGUGCACGACGCGAUCACCAGUGAAGAGGAGUCGAUCGGCGCAGUGUUCGGUGCUCUCGACAUUACCGUGGACGUGGAGCACGGCAGCGUGCUCAACGCAGGGCAAGAAACAUAUGCUGAUGAGUCAGUAGUAGGGCACAGUAGGCAUCAGCUCAUACUCGUGCUUCUAGCAUCUCACCAGUUAGUGUCAUGUAAAUUGUUACUACUGUUAUUUGGCAACAGAAUCAGUAAUGCAAUCGAUUUCGUUCAUGCCAAAGCACUCUGCUUCGCCAGCGCUGCUCCUCUGUUUAUCUGCUCAUACUCGUGCUCCCCGUUGCGACACGAUUGA
rnacentral:rRNA from 1 species